rnacentral:rRNA from 1 species
ACAUCACCUCCAGCAUCCCUAGUAUUGGAGGCACUGCCUGCCCAGUGACAACUGUUUAACGGCCGCGGUAUCCUGACCGUGCAAAGGUAGCAUAAUCAUUUGUUCUCUAAAUAAGGACUUGUAUGAAUGGCCACACGAGGGUUUUACUGUCUCUUACUUCCAAUCAGUGAAAUUGACCUUCCCGUGAAGAGGCGGGAAUGCAUAAAUAAGACGAGAAGACCCUAUGGAGCUUUAACUAACCAACCCAAAGAAAAUAAAUUUAACCAUUGAGGAACAACAACAAUCUCCAUGAGUUGGUAGUUUCGGUUGGGGUGACCUCGGAGAAUAAAAAAUCCUCCGAACGAUUUUAAAGACUAGACCCACAAGUCAAAUCACUCUAUCGCUCAUUGAUCCAAAAAUUUGAUCAACGGAACAAGUUACCCUAGGGAUAACAGCGCAAUCCUAUUUAAGAGUCCAUAUCGACAAUAGGGUUUACGACCUCGAUGUUGGAUCAGGACAUCCUGAUGGUGCAACCGCUAUCAAAGGUUCGUUUGUUCAACGAUUAAAGUCCUACAUGAUC